UCAGUCCUUAAUAUUUUUCAUCUCCUCAGUAUAAUUCAUCAGACCACAGUUUGCUAAUGAACUGUAUAAUCAGGAAGAAACUUCAUAUAAAGUUGCUGGAGGUCAGUUAUUAUGAAUACAAAUAAAGGAUUCACAAUCUCUUGGCAUCAACCAAACACAAGAGCAAAACUCAUUUAAGAGUUAGAGAACACCCAGUGACUGGCCUUAUGUUGAAGACUUCUCAACAUAAGAAAGAGAGAGAGAAAGGAAGGAAAAAGAGGAGGAGAGAGGAGAUAGAAUAAAGAGCAAGAGGGAAAGGAAAAUUUAAACUUUUUGUACUUCUUACAGAUAUUU